rnacentral:rRNA from 1 species
UACGGAGGGUGCAAGCGUUAUCCGGAUUCACUGGGUUUAAAGGGUGUGUAGGCGGGUAUUUAAGUCAGUGGUGAAAUCUCCAGGCUCAACCUGGAAACUGCCAUUGAUACUAUUUAUCUUGAAUUCUGUUGAGGUGGGCGGAAUACAUCAUGUAGCGGUGAAAUGCUUAGAUAUGAUGCAGAACACCGAUUGCGAAGGCAGCUCACUAAACAGACAUUGACGCUGAGGCACGAAAGCGUGGGGAUCAAACAGG